GCAGUUUUCUUUAUUCGUUCCCUCAAGCCCUAACAAUGCAGGCAAUAAAUGACCUGAUAAGGGGCACGUGAUGCCAGCGAAGAGGAUGGUUCCAGAAGGCACAGAAGACUGUGUGCAGAAGAGGGCAUGGAGUGAGGAACAACCUGACCUGAAGCAACUGUCCAGGCCUGGAGUAGCGCCUGAAGCUAGAAGGCACCAGAUGAAGGUGAGAGGGUCCAGCCCAGGUCUUUGGCUCAGGCCAGGACACCUGGGGCCUUCCUUGUCUGGGCAUACGGAAGGUGUAGGGACAGAUUAUAAAAUCCUUGACAGCAAGUAAAAGCUAAGUACAGUUUGCUGAAUGAAUACAAGAAAUGAGGUCACAGAAAGAGCAAAGCCCAUAAAACAACAGCAACAGCUUUGGGAUGCUGCCAGCAGGCAAAGCAUUGAGAGCAGAAAGCCUAAUCCUAUGCCCUCGUGAAAAGUAUCACACUGCAGGAAACCCGUAACUCAGCAGAUAGGGCAGUUUCCUGCAGAAAAGCCCCUCGUGAGAAGGGGCUGAGUGACAAGAUUUAGUGCAGGCAGAGAGCCCACCUUCAACCAACUACAAUCAGAGGAGAGAAAUUUUUAACCUUUUGCUAAAGUCAUUAAUGGAACUGUACUACCUGCUACCUAAGAACUAAAACGUUUGGUCAGAACUUCCCACUCUCCCUCUCCCACUCUGACCCUGUGCUAACCGGCAAUGCAGUACCCAGAAAGCAAGGAGAAAACCACUUAGAGAUCACUUUUCUAUUUUCAUGGAUUAAAAUGAAACAAAUUUUCAGUGGAAAUGCAUAACUAUCGCUGUUAAGUACCAAUCCAUCUCAUCUUAAAGGUUUGAAAGUACAAAUCUAAGAAACGAAAUAUGUUGAAACUUACUCUUUAAUUCAACCGGUUCUCAGGAAACCCAAGAAGUCCUGGGAUCUAACGGAGGAAGGCAGACACACCAACUACUCACUCCCCCCACUCCCAUCCAAGCUCUGAGGAGGGUACAAGGCCCCCAAGACUCAAUUCUUCACACUCUCACCUCCCAGGAAGACCUCCACUCAAGGGUAAAAGCAGUAACAUAGAAUAGUUCCUAACUGCAAGGCCUCAACGAGCUGCUACUACGGCCAGAAUGAAUCCAGAAACCACACAGGCCUUGGGGAAGUAAGAGCUCUGAGACAAAGUCAUGCCUUCAACUGGUAGAAGGAUCAACAAAGCUUGGAGGGACACACAAAUGGUCAGAGCUUCACCUUUCCUAAACAGUGCCUUCCUAUGUGCCCAAUUGGGAACUAAGCUUAAAUAAAAGCUAUCUUUCACUUCUUUUCAGGACAUCACAUUAAUUAUCCUAGUUAUGGUUUAUUUAUGCAUGUAAAAAAAAUAUGAUGAAAGUCACAUGCCCACCUACAAAAAAUUUGUAAAGUGGAGAAAAGGCAAAAAUUACCCUUAAUCCCAUCAAUAAAAAUGUUAGCCUUUUGGUAAUAAGUUUUCUCUCAGUAUUUUUACAGAUUUAAUCAUUAUGUAUCUACCAUAUUGUUAAACUGCUUUACACAACUAUUCUUUUCUCUAAAAGCUUUCAUUUAAAAAAAAAACUUUUUUUUUUUUUUUUGCUUUUGUUAUUUUUUAGUGUCUAUUCAUCUUUGGGAGAGCAUGAGUGGGAAAGGGGCAAAGAGAGAAGAGGGCAGAGGAUCUGAAGUGGGAUCCAUGCGGACAGUUGCAAGCCCGAUGUGGGACUUGAAUUCACAAACCAUGAGAUCAUGACCUGAGACAAAAUCAGAUGCUCAACUGACUGAGCCACCCAGGCACCCCAAUUUUUAUUUUUUAAGUAGGCUCCAUGCCCAGCAUGGAGCCCAAUGCAGGGCUUGAACUCACGACCCUGAGAUCAUGACCUGAGAUCAAGAGUUAGAUGCUCAACCAACUGAACCAUUCAGGUGCCCCUAAAAUCUUUUAAAUAAAUCAAAUAUGUGUAUCCACUUAAAAAAAAAAAUUAAAUACUGGGGCACCUGAGUGGCUCAGACGGUUAAGCCUCCGACUUUGGCUCAGGUCAUGAUCUCUUGGCUAGUGAAUGUGAGCCUCACACUGGGCUCUGUGCUGACAGCUCAGAGUUUGGAGCCUGCUUCGGAUUCUGUGUCUCCCUCUCUGUCCCUUCCUUGCUUGUGCAUGUGCUCUCUCUCAAAUAUAAACAUUAAAAAUUUUUU